GAAAGACGGGUGAGAAUCCCGUCCACCGAUUGACUAAGGUUUCCAGAGGAAGGCUCGUCCGCUCUGGGUUAGUCGGGUCCUAAGCUGAGGCCGACAGGCGUAGGCGAUGGAUAACAGGUUGAUAUUCCUGUACCACCUAUAAUCGUUUUAAUCGAUGGGGGGACGCAGUAGGAUAGGCGAAGCGUGCGAUUGGAUUGCACGUCUAAGCAGUAAGGCUGAGUAUUAGGCAAAUCCGGUACUCGUUAAGGCUGAGCUGUGAUGGGGAGAAGACAUUGUGUCUUCGAGUCGUUGAUUUCACACUGCCGAGAAAAGCCUCUAGAUAGAAAAUAGGUGCCCGUACCGCAAACCGACACAGGUAGUCAAGAUGAGAAUUCUAAGGUGAGCGAGCGAACUCUCGUUAAGGAACUCGGCAAAAUGACCCCGUAACUUCGGGAGAAGGGGUGCUCUUUAGGGUUAACGCCCAGAAGAGCCGCAGUGAAUAGGCCCAAGCGACUGUUUAUCAAAAACACAGGUCUCUGCUAAACCGUAAGGUGAUGUAUAGGGGCUGACGCCUGCCCGGUGCUGGAAGGUUAAGAGGAGUGGUUAGCUUCUGCGAAGCUACGAAUCGAAGCCCCAGUAAACGGCGGCCGUAACUAUAACGGUCCUAAGGUAGCGAAAUUCCUUGUCGGGUAAGUUCCGACCCGCACGAAAGGCGUAACGAUUUGGGCACUGUCUCAACGAGAGACUCGGUGAAAUCAUAGUACCUGUGAAGAUGCAGGUUACCCGCGACAGGACGGAAAGACCCCGUGGAGCUUUACUGUAGCCUGAUAUUGAAAUUCGGCACAGCUUGUACAGGAUAGGUAGGAGCCUUUGAAACGUGAGCGCUAGCUUACGUGGAGGCGCUGGUGGGAUACUACCCUAGCUGUGUUGGCUUUCUAACCCGCACCACUUAUCGUGGUGGGAGACAGUGUCAGGCGGGCAGUUUGACUGGGGCGGUCGCCUCCUAAAAGGUAACGGAGGCGCUCAAAGGUUCCCUCAGAAUGGUUGGAAAUCAUUCAUAGAGUGUAAAGGCAUAAGGGAGCUUGACUGCGAGACCUACAAGUCGAGCAGGGUCGAAAGACGGACUUAGUGAUCCGGUGGUUCCGCAUGGAAGGGCCAUCGCUCAACGGAUAAAAGCUACCCCGGGGAUAACAGGCUUAUCUCCCCCAAGAGUUCACAUCGACGGGGAGGUUUGGCACCUCGAUGUCGGCUCAUCGCAUCCUGGGGCUGUAGUCGGUCCCAAGGGUUGGGCUGUUCGCCCAUUAAAGCGGUACGCGAGCUGGGUUCAGAACGUCGUGAGACAGUUCGGUCCCUAUCCGUCGUGGGCGUAGGAAAUUUGAGAGGAGCUGUCCUUAGUACGAGAGGACCGGGAUGGACAUACCUCUGGUGUACCAGUUGUCGUGCCAACGGCAUAGCUGGGUAGCUAUGUGUGGACGGGAUAAGUGCUGAAAGCAUCUAAGCAUGAAGCCCCCCUCAAGAUGAGAUUUCCCAACUUCGGUUAUAAGAUCCCUCAAAGAUGAUGAGGUUAAUAGGUUCGAGGUGGAAGCAUGGUGACAUGUGGAGCUGACGAAUACUAAUCGAUCGAAGACUUAAUCAA
rnacentral:rRNA from 1 species